rnacentral:rRNA from 1 species
UUGUGGUUAAAAAGCUCGUAGUUGGAUCUCAACAGCCUUGAAGCGGUUAACUUUGUAGUUUUACUGCUUUAUAGGCUGUGCUUUUGCUGGAGGUUUAGGGGUGCUCUUGAUCGAGUGUCUUUGGAUGCCAGCAGGUUUACUUUGAAAAAAUUAGAGUGCUCAAAGCAGGCUAAAAUGCCUGAAUAUUCGUGCAUGGAAUAAUAGAAUAGGAUGUCGAUCCUAUUUUGUUGGUUUUCGGGACUCGACAUAAUGAUAAAUAGGGACAGUCGGGGGCAUUUGUAUUCAAACGACAGAGGUGAAAUUCUUGGACCGUUUGAAGACAAACUACUGCGAAAGCAUUUGCCAAGAAUGUUUUCAUUAAUCAAGAACGAAAGUUAGAGGUUCGAAGGCGAUUAGAUACCGCCCUAGUUCUAACCAUAAACGAUGCCAGCUAGCGAUCUGCCUGCCGUUUUUACU